GUCCACGCCGUAAACGAUGGAUACUAGCUGUUCGGAGCAAUCUGAGUGGCUAAGCGAAAGUGAUAAGUAUCCCACCUGGGGAGUACGUUCGCAAGAAUGAAACUCAAAGGAAUUGACGGGGGCCCCGCACAAGCGGUGGAGCAUGUGGUUUAAUUCGAUGAUACGCGAGGAACCUUACCAAGGCUUAAAUGUAGAUUGACCGGUUUGGAAACAGACUUUUCGCAAGACAAUUUACAAGGUGCUGCAUGGUUGUCGU
rnacentral:rRNA from 1 species